rnacentral:rRNA from 1 species
AGAGUUUGAUCAUGGCUCAGAACGAACGCUGGCGGCGUGGAUAAGACAUGCAAGUUGAACGCUGAUUUCAGUGUAGCAAUAUAUUGAAGUUGGAGUAGCGCAAGGGUGCGUAACACGUGGGUAAUUUGCCCUGAAGUUGGGGAUAACUCGCUGAAAGGCGAGCUAAUACCGGAUGUGAAGUUUGGGUGGCAUCACCUGACCUUUAAAGCUGGGGAUCGUAAGACCUGGCGCUUCAGGAUAAGCCCGCGGCCUAUCAGCUAGUUGGUGAGGUAACGGCUCACCAAGGCUAAGACGGGUAGCUGGUCUGAGAGGACGACCAGCCACACUGGAACUGAGACACGGUCCAGACACCUACGGGUGGCAGCAGUCGAGAAUUUUUCUCAAUGGGCGCAAGCCUGAAGGAGCGACGCCGCGUGGGGGAUGAAGGGUUUCGAUCCGUAAACCCCUGUCAUUUGUGAACAAUGGUUAUCGUUUAAGAGAUGAUGACUUGAUAGUAAUGAAAGAGGAAGGGACGGCUAACUCUGUGCCAGCAGCCGCGGUAAUACAGAGGUCCCGAGCGUUGUUCGGAUUCACUGGGCGUAAAGGGUGCGUAGGUGGCCUGAAAAGUUUGAUGUGAAAGCUCAGGGCUUAACCCUGAAAUGGCAUUGAAUACUGUUGGGCUGGAGGUUUGGAGGGGGGACUGGAAUUCUUGGUGUAGCAGUGAAAUGCGUAGAUAUCAAGAGGAACACCAGUGGCGAAGGCGAGUCCCUGGACAACACCUGACACUGAGGCACGAAAGCUAGGGGAGCAAACAGGAUUAGAUACCCUAGUAGUCC